GUGUCAGCCGCCGCGGUAAUACGGAAGGUCCGGGCGUUAUCCGGAUUUAUUGGGUUUAAAGGGAGCGUAGGCCGUCUGUUAAGCGUGUUGUGAAAUGUCGGGGCUCAACCUGGGCAUUGCAGCGCGAACUGGCAGACUUGAGUGCGCAGGAAGUAGGCGGAAUUCGUCGUGUGGCGGUGAAAUGCUUAGAUAUGACGAAGAACUCCGAUUGCGAAGGCAGCCUGCUGUAGCGUAACUGACGCUGCAGCUCGAAAGCGUGGGUAUCGAACAGGAUUAGAUACCCUGGUAGUCCACGCGGUAAACGAUGGAUGCUCGCUGUUUGCGUCUGACGUAAGCGGCCAAGCGAAAGCGUUAAGCAUCCCACCUGGGGAGUACGCCGGCAACGGUGAA
rnacentral:rRNA from 1 species